rnacentral:rRNA from 1 species
GAUGAACGCUGGCGGCGUGCCUAAUACAUGCAAGUAGAACGCUGAAGGAAGGAGCUUGCUCUUUCCGGAUGAGUUGCGAACGGGUGAGUAACGCGUAGGUAACCUGCCUGGUAGCGGGGGAUAACUAUUGGAAACGAUAGCUAAUACCGCAUAACAGUAGAUGUUGCAUGACAACUAUUUGAAAGGGGCAAUUGCUCCACUACCAGAUGGACCUGCGUUGUAUUAGCUAGUUGGUGAGGUAACGGCUCACCAAGGCGACGAUACAUAGCCGACCUGAGAGGGUGAUCGGCCACACUGGGACUGAGGCACGGCCCAGACUCCUACGGGAGGCAGCAGUAGGGAAUCUUCGGCAAUGGACGGAAGUCUGACCGAGCAACGCCGCGUGAGUGAAGAAGGUUUUCGGAUCGUAAAGCUCUGUUGUAAGAGAAGAACGAGUGUGAGAGUGGAAAGUUCACACUGUGACGGUAUCUUACCAGAAAGAGACGGCUAACUACGUG